GAUGAACGCUGGCGGCGUGCUUAACACAUGCAAGUCGAACGAAGCACUUUAUUUGAUUUCCUUCGGGACUGAUUAUUUUGUGACUGAGUGGCGGACGGGUGAGUAACGCGUGGGUAACCUGCCUUGUACAGGGGGAUAACAGUUGGAAACGGCUGCUAAUACCGCAUAAGCGCACAGCAUCGCAUGAUGCAGUGUGAAAAACUCCGGUGGUAUAAGAUGGACCCGCGUUGGAUUAGCUAGUUGGUGAGGUAACGGCCCACCAAGGCGACGAUCCAUAGCCGACCUGAGAGUGGGACCGGCCACAUUGGGACUGAGACACGGCCCAAACUCCUACGGGAGGCAGCAGUGGGGAAUAUUGCACAAUGGGCGAAAGCCUGAUGCAGCGACGCCGCGUGAGCGAAGAAGUAUUUCGGUAUGUAAAGCUCUAUCAGCAGGGAAGAUAAUGACGGUACCUGACUAAGAAGCACCGGCUAAAUACGUG
rnacentral:rRNA from 1 species